GGCGAUCAGAUACCGCCCUAGUUCUAACCGUAAACGAUGACAACCAGCGAUUAAUCGGCGUUAAUAUACGACCCGAUUAGCAGCUUCCGGGAAACCAAAGUUUUUCGUUUCCGGGGGAAGUAUGGUUGCAAACCUGAAACUUAAAGGAAUUGACGGAAGGGCACCACCAGGAGUGGAGCCUGCGGCUUAAUUUGACUCAACACGGGAAAACUCACCCGGCCCGGACACUGUAAGGAUUGACAGACUGAGAGCUCUUUCUUAAUUCAGUGGGUGGUGGUGCAUGGCCGUUCUUAGUUGGUGGAGCGAUUUGUCUGGUUAAUUCCGAUAACGAACGAGACUCUGGCCUAUUAAAUAGACGAGGUAUUUAAAAGUAUCUCGCGCUUCUUAGAGGGACAAGCGGCGUCUAGUCGCAUGAAAAAGAGCAAUAACAGGUCUGUGAUGCCCUUAGAUGUCCGGGGCUGCACGCGCGCUACACUGAAAGAAUCAGCGUGCAUUUUAACCUAGUCCGGAAGGACCGGGUAACCCGAGUAAAUUCUUUCGUGCUUGGGAUAGGGAAUUGCAAUUAUUUCCCUUAAACGAGGAAUUCCCAGUAAAUGCGGGUCAUAAGCUCGCGUUGAUUACGUCCCUGCCCUUUGUA
rnacentral:rRNA from 1 species